AAGGACACACCACUUACUUAACAUGAACAUGUCCCUAAGCUCAUCUACAUAGGCAGCCUGUCCCUGUGGCAGGAGAACUUGUACUCAGUCCUACGCUCCUGAAAUAAGACCUGUCUAUGCUGAUUCUAGUGGAGGUUACACAGCAACGUCAAAGACAGCAGCAAGCCCAGUCUUGUUAAUGUGGCUAGUUUUCUCCAGAGACUGAGACUGCCAAUUAAUUUUGCCCAGAUAACCAGAAAGCUGUUGAGUUCUAGAUCUGAGGCCAAGGGAAGCUGACACAUUCAGCUCACGCUCUGUCAUUGGAGGUAAAGCAUGCGAGCGCCAGUCUAAUGCUCCCCCCACGAGGCUCAGCCCUGACACAAGACUGAAUGCUCUCAGCCAUGCUGGAAGGGUCAUCGGGGGCCUGGGAGUGCCAAGCACUGUAUUGAGAAAGCUGUUCCUGGCAGCCACAGAGAACACCCCUUCUUCCAGGAACAGGUAACAAAGAGAGACUCCUCACAUCAGACCCCCAGGGAACCUUUCAAACCGCUCCUUGGCUUCAUGUGAGAGCACAGCAUCUCUCAGCACAGGAGCAAAGGCUGGAAUUAAAUUAAGCAAUAGAAAAUGUUGGACCAUACUUAUUUGUGAGAUUGUGUUUGGAAAAAUAACGUAUUUACAAAUCCUUUCUAUAAAGUUGUUACUGCUGUAAAAUAUUCAGUGGAAGGUGUUUUUAUUAGAACAAGAAAAGAGGCAGUUCCAAGUCUAAGCACUCCUGCAGAACUUGCUCCGUAGUGCACUCUCUCACUUUUCAUUCCUGCUGUAAAAUACAAAUCUGCUCUACCUGUUCUGAAAGGUAUCUGUAGUUUGCUCACUCCAGCAGCUGUUAAAACCAUGCUGUUGUUUUUAUUGUUUCAGUCCACAGAGAUUUUUCCUGCCCUCUCAUGCUUCAGGAAAGUCACUGUGGGAAAUACUUAGAAGUCUGGUCAUAAGCAGACCCAGGCUUGGAAGGAGGUCAGUAAUGCCAGACAGGCUACAAAGGCACAAUAUUUUCAUGGAAAGUCUCCACAAAUGAAUAGAAUGCAGACUAUAAAAGUAUAUAUUACAACUACUAACAUAUUAGUUAUCUGACUCUAGUGCCUUGACACACAGUGUACUUUCUCUAGACACAUCAAAGUAGAUUGGAAUUGUCAUUUGACUAUUAUAUUUCUUUCUUCUGGCUUGUACAAUCCCCUCCCAGGUAUGAGCCAUUCAGUAGUUUUGAGUAUUUUCCUAGGAUAUAAAAUGCACCAUGUCAUUUCUUUGCCUAGCAAGCAUAGGACAGUGUGUUUGUGAAGUGCUGUGUUCUCCCUGUUCCAGGUGGAGAAAAAUAAAAAGCACAAGCCUAAUCUACAAGGCUGCUUGUGUAAUAAGAUACAACAGGUAAGAACAAUAGCAGCUGAAAGAUAAAAGCAAGAGACCAGAUAGCGUUGAAUGUGUAAUUUGUUUUAAAACUUUGGAAGACCUAAUUCGUACUCAAAUUUCACUAUGAAGUGCAAGCAGCUCUUGGAAUAAAUUAUGAGCCUGAAAGCCUGUGAAGAAGUGUUUAUUAAAACACAAAACCUGAUAUUCUUCUCAGAUUUCAAUGGUAAACACGGCACGAAGGGAGUUGCUACUCUUUUCCUGCACGCACCAACUCUACUGGAGUUCAAGAAGCAUUUGGACAACACUCUCAGAUACAUGGUUUGAUUUUUCAGGGGUCCUGUGUGCAGCUAGGAGUUGGACUCCAUGAUCCCUGUGGUUCUUUCCAACUCAGAUUCCAUGACUCUAUGAAUCUAUAAAAAUAGGCAAUGAUUACACUGCCACUGUUUUAUACCUGUUGUUGGGUGUUAAGGUUGAAAUGAAAACAACAGAUGUAAAACAGUAUACUGGAAAAGCCCAAUAUAAGAGUGUGCAGCUCCUGUUGUUCUGAGGUCCUUUAAAAUGUUUAUUCUCCACUCUAAUGGGAGAAAAAAAGUGUGCAGGGGAAGAGAACAUUUCAUUGCAAGGGUCUCAAGGGUGUUGGGCUGAGCAUUCAGUUCCUUUUUAAGGCAGUUAAAACAGAAAUGGGAACAUUGUAUUUUCUAAAUAAAAUGGCAUGAGAUGUUCUCAC
ensembl:lncRNA